rnacentral:rRNA from 1 species
UACGUAGGUGGCAAGCGUUAUCCGGAAUUAUUGGGCGUAAAGCGCGCGUAGGCGGUUUUUUAAGUCUGAUGUGAAAGCCCACGGCUCAACCGUGGAGGGUCAUUGGAAACUGGAAAACUUGAGUGCAGAAGAGGAAAGUGGAAUUCCAUGUGUAGCGGUGAAAUGCGCAGAGAUAUGGAGGAACACCAGUGGCGAAGGCGACUUUCUGGUCUGUAACCGACGCUGAUGUGCGAAAGCGUGGGGAUCAAACAGGAUUAGAU